GAUGAACGCUAGCGGCAGGCCUAAUACAUGCAAGUCGAACGGGAUCCAGAUCAAAGCUUGCUUUGGUUUGGUGAGAGUGGCGCACGGGUGCGUAACGCGUGAGCAACCUACCCUUGUCAGGGGGAUAGCCCGGCGAAAGUCGGAUUAAUACCGCAUGACAUCAUUGAGAGGCAUCUUUCGAUGAUCAAAGAUUUAUCGGACAAGGAUGGGCUCGCGUGACAUUAGCUAGUUGGUAAGGUAACGGCUUACCAAGGCUACGAUGUCUAGGGGCUCUGAGAGGAGAAUCCCCCACACUGGUACUGAGACCCGGACCAGACUCCUACGGGAGGCAGCAGUAAGGAAUAUUGGUCAAUGGACGGAAGUCUGAACCAGCCAUGCCGCGUGCAGGAAGACGGCCCUAUGGGUUGUAAACUGCUUUUAUACGGGAACAAACGUCGGUACGUGUACCGGUCUGAGUGUACCGUAAGAAUAAGAAUCGGCUAACUCCGUG
rnacentral:rRNA from 1 species